GACGAACGCUGGCGGCGUGCCUAAUACAUGCAAGUUGAGCGCUGAAGGUUGGUACUUGUACCAACUGGAUGAGCAGCGAACGGGUGAGUAACGCGUGGGGAAUCUGCCUUUGAGCGGGGGACAACAUUUGGAAACGAAUGCUAAUACCGCAUAAAAACUUUAAACACAAGUUUUAAGUUUGAAAGAUGCAAUUGCAUCACUCAAUCAUGACCCAGCGGUGUAUUAGUUGGUUGGUGGGGUAACGGCUCACUAAGGGGUUGACACACAGCCAACCUGAGCGGGUGAUCGGCCACAUUGGGACGGAGACAGGGCCCAAACGGCUUCGGGAGGCAGCAGUAGGGAAUCGUGGGCAAUGGACGAAAGUCUGACCGAGAAACGCCGCGUGAGUGAGGAGGGUUGUCGGAUCGUAAAACUCGGUUGGUAGGGAAGAACGUGGGUGAGAGUGGAAAGCUCAUCGAGUGACGGUAACGACCCAGAAAGGGACGGCUAACUACGUG
rnacentral:rRNA from 1 species